rnacentral:ncRNA from 1 species
AAGAAGUUUUAUUCUGGCUUGUUAUUAUUCAUUUUAAGUUAAAUAUACAUGUAAGUUUUUGUGUGAUUGAGUAGUAAAUGUCUUAAUGAUUUUGUUAUUAUAUGCUUUGUUCGCAGUAUGGAAUAUUGAAUAUGAAGUGUUUUUUGAUUUGAUUAAAUUUAGGUAGUAUUGAUUAAAUAUGUGCCAGCAGUCGCGGUUAGACAUGAAAUAUAAGUGAAUAUUUUUGGUUAAAAUAGUUAUUAGUUAUUAUGAUUUUUUUUAUUAUGAAUUUGUGGUGGAAUAAUGGAAGAGGAUAUUAUGAGAAUUUAUUUUAUAAUAAGAGGCUAUGAAAUCUAUUAUUUAAACUAGGAUUAGAUACCCUAUUAUUUUAGAUGUAAAUUAGUUUAACUUGGGUAGUAUAAGUGAUUUCUGAAACUUAAAGAAUUUGGCGGUAUUUUAGUCUUUUUAGAGGAAUCUGUUCCGUAAUCGAUAAUCCGCGUUGGACCUUUCUUGAAUUGAUUAGUUUGUAUAUCGUUGUUGUUGAAUAUUUUUAUAGAUAAUAAUGUUCUUGACUCUUAUAUUGAGAAGUAUUUCAAAUCAAGGUGUAGCUUAUAUUUAAGUGGAGAUGGAUUACAAUAUAUUAUAUGUAAUAUGAAUUGUUGAUUGGAAUUUUGUCAUGAAGGUGGAUUUAAUUGUAAUUUUGUGAAGAUUGUUAUUAUGAAUAUGCUCUAGAAUAUGUACACAUCGCCCGUCGCUCUCAUGUAUAAAUGAGAUAAGUCGUAACAUAGUGGUUGUACUGGAAAGUGUAGCCAGAAUGAU